GUACCGUACAAACGUUAUUCGGAAUCACUGGGCUUAAAGGGUGCGUAGGCGGUGCGGUCAGUUGGGUGUGAAAUCCCUCGGCUCAACCGAGGAACUGCGCCCAAUACUGCCGCACUCGAGGGAGACAGAGGUAAGCGGAACUGAUGGUGGAGCGGUGAAAUGCGUUGAUAUCAUCAGGAACACCGGUAGCGAAGGCGGCUUACUGGGUCUCUUCUGACGCUGAGGCACGAAAGCUAGGGUAGCGAACGGGGGAUUAGAUACCCCGGUAGUCCUAGCUGUAAACGAUGAGCACUUGGUCGGAGACUCCUCCAUAGGUUUCCGGUCGUAGCGAAAGUGUUAAGUGCUCCGCCUGGGGAGUAUGGUCGCAAGGCUG
rnacentral:rRNA from 1 species